AUUGAACGCUGGCGGCAUGCUUUACACAUGCAAGUCGAACGGUAACAGGCCUUCGGGUGCUGACGAGUGGCGAACUGGUGAGUAAUGCAUCGGAACGUACCCAGAGGUGGGGGAUAACGCAGCGAAAGCUGUGCUAAUACCGCAUGUGAUCUGAGGAUGAAAGCGGGGGACCGAGCAGCAAUGUUUGGCCUCGCGCCUUUGGAGCGGCCGAUGUCGGAUUAGCUAGUUGGUGGGGUAAAGGCCUACCAAGGCGACGAUCCGUAGCUGGUCUGAGAGGACGACCAGCCACACUGGAACUGAGACACGGCCCAGACUCCUACGGGAGGCAGCAGUGGGGAAUUUUGGACAAUGGGCGCAAGCCUGAUCCAGCAAUGCCGCGUGCGGGAAGAAGGCCUUCGGGUUGUAAACCGCUUUUGGCAGGAACGAAACGGUGUCCGCUAAUACCGGGCGCUAAUGACGGUACCUGCAGAAUAAGCACCGGCUAACUACGUG
rnacentral:rRNA from 1 species